rnacentral:rRNA from 1 species
AUUGAACGCUGGCGGCAGGCCUAACACAUGCAAGUCGAGCGGCAGCGACUUAACUGAACCUUCGGGGAACGUUAAGGGCGGCGAGCGGCGGACGGGUGAGUAAUGCCUGGGAAUAUGCCCUGAUGUGGGGGAUAACUAUUGGAAACGAUAGCUAAUACCGCAUAAUCUCUUCGGAGCAAAGAGGGGGACCUUCGGGCCUCUCGCGUCAGGAUUAGCCCAGGUGGGAUUAGCUUGUUGGUGAGGUAAUGGCUCACCAAGGCUACGAUCCCUAGCUGGUCUGAGAGGAUGAUCAGCCACACUGGAACUGAGACACGGUCCAGACUCCUACGGGAGGCAGCAGUGGGGAAUAUUGCACAAUGGGGGAAACCCUGAUGCAGCCAUGCCGCGUGUGUGAAGAAGGCCUUCGGGUUGUAAAGCACUUUCAGUAGGGAGGAAGGUAGUGUAGUUAACACCUGCAUUAUUUGACGUUACCUACAGAAGAAGCACCGGCUAACUCCGUGCCAGCAGCCGCGGUAAUACGGAGGGUGCGAGCGUUAAUCGGAAUUACUGGGCGUAAAGCGCAUGCAGGCGGCCUGUUAAGUCAGAUGUGAAAGCCCGGGGCUUAACCUCGGAAUUGCAUUUGAAACUGGCAGGCUAGAGUCUUGUAGAGGGGGGUAGAAUUUCAGGUGUAGCGGUGAAAUGCGUAGAGAUCUGAAGGAAUACCAGUGGCGAAAGGCGGCCCCCUGGACAAAGACUGACGCUCAGAUGCGAAAGCGUGGGGAGCAAACAGG